GGAAGGGUACAGCUCAGUGGUAGAGCACGUGCUUAGCAUGCACAAGGUCCUGGGUUCCAUCCCCAGUACCUCCA
rnacentral:tRNA from 1 species